UACAAAUAACUCACGCACACCCCCUCCCUUCUCUUCCCCAUUCUCGGCCUCCCCUCUCUCUCUCUAUACUCUCUUUUCCUCCAUUGAUGUCCAUUGAAGAAAGCUUAGAGAAGCUUCAUCAAACACUACUAUGAGAUAAUCCACCAUCCAAUCCAAUCAAACACUAUCAUAUCUCAUCAAAUUCAAGAAGCUAGAGCUAAGAUCAAAGUUGGAGCAAAGUCUUGAUCACCUUUUAAAUCCUUGAACACGAGAAGAGCAAGGAAGUAAGUAACUCCACUUUGACGGGAGAUUUUGAGUAAGGUCUUCAGGAUAAGCGGAGGGGGAGUAUGGUGCGGUGCUGGUGGAGAAUGUUUCGGGUUGACGUUUUCUUUCUCUAUCGUAUGUCUGUUUUGUCGAUAGAGUUUUGAUAUGAAGUUAUGUUAAAUCGAGUUUGAUGUUUAAGAUACUUAAUUUCAUUUGAAAAUCAAGCAAUACACUCACGGUUA